GAGAAGACUUGAUUGGCCAGGUGUUAAAUUACUGCUAAAAACUUGUUAUAUAAUUAAUGUGCAUUUGCUUCAUUGUAAAACAGAGAGCCUUGGUGCAAUAAGAAGGGAAGAGUGUCAGUGGAUAGAGACACACAAAAUGUGGACUCCAUCAAAGCCAAAGGCUACAAAAGACACUGAGGAAAAUAGUCACUCUGAUGAUGAGGAUGAGACUCCUCAAUACCAGAAGAUAGAGGAUGAUCCAUGCAGGACUCCAAAACGGCCAAAGACAGACGACAAGGAUGACAUGAUAGAGGAGCUCAAACUAAGAGUAAAAGACAAGGAAAAGGAGAUCAGGCGGUUGAGAAGAUUGAAUCUUCAACUGCAAGAAGGGCUGGCAGAUACUAUCACACAAACUGUCAAAGAUGCUAUACAGGCCACUAAGCCUGUACCCAGCCACCAAGCCCCUCUUCCUAACCAAUCAGCAGAGAUAAAGAAUGAGUCUGUCACUGCCUUAAUGAAUCCAACCGCCAUGGAAUAUGCCCAAAGGUGUGAAGGCUAUAAAAAACUCACCAGGACUGUGAUGGACUCCAUCUUCACUGUGGAAGAGAUGACAACGUGCUCCGUCACAGGAAAAAAAGGCAUUGUCGGAGAGAAAAGACAGAGCCUUGACAAAGGCAAAGUGAAGCUAGUAAUUGACCAUGUUAAAAAAGUUCACAGAGGAAUCGGAGACACUGAGAUCAAGGCCUGCAUGGCACAAAAAUUAAAAGACACCCGGAGACGAGCAGAGAGGGAAACAUGGAGUCCUGCCGCGGAAAACCAAGAGGACUGAGACAACACACACACACACACAAUUAGAUAAAGUUUCUUUCCCCAGAAUAAAUGUUUUGCCAAAUAAACACUGAAUUUGUAUAUUUGUUUUAAUUUAUUUAGGGGCAUGUUGAUCCUUUUAAUGGACAGU